UACGUAGGGUGCAAGCGUUGUCCGGAAUUAUUGGGCGUAAAGAGCUCGUAGGCGGUCUGUCGCGUCUGCUGUGAAAACUCAGGGCUUAACCCUGAGCUUGCAGUGGGUACGGGCAGACUAGAGUGCGGUAGGGGAGACUGGAAUUCCUGGUGUAGCGGUGAAAUGCGUAGAUAUCCGGAGGAAUACCAGUGGCGAAGGCGGCUUGCUGGGUCUAGACUGACACUCAGACGCGAAAGCAUGGGGAGCGAACGGG
rnacentral:rRNA from 1 species